rnacentral:SRP_RNA from 1 species
UCCGGGCGCAGUGGUUCGUGUCUGUAGUCCCAGCUACUCGGGAGACUGAGGUGGGAGGAUCCCUUGAGCCCAGGAGUUCUGGGCUGUAGUGUGCUAUGCGGAUUGGAUGUCUGCACUAAGUUCGGCAUCAAUAUGGGGACCUCCCGGGAGCGGGGGACCACCAGGUUGCCUAAGGAGAAGUGAACCGGCCCAGGUUGGAAAUGGAGCAGGUCAAACCUCCCGUGCUGAUCAGUAGUGGGAUCGUGCCUGUGAAUAGCCACUGCACUCCAGCCUGGGCAAUAUAGCGAGACCAGGUCUCU